rnacentral:rRNA from 1 species
CACCUCUUCCCAUCUCGAACAGAGAAGUUAAGCCCCGCACCGCUGAUGAUACUGGGAUCAAACCCGGGAAAGUAAGUAAGCUCCAAGU